rnacentral:rRNA from 1 species
GAUGAACGCUGGCGGCGUGCCUAAUACAUGCAAGUCGAGCGAACAGACGAUGCGCUUGCUCCUCUGUCGUUAGCGGCGGACGGGUGUGAAACAUGUGUAUACCCUACCUAUCUGACUGGUAUCACUUCGGGACACCGGCGCUAAUACCGGAUAAUAUCUUGAACCGUAUGGGUCAAUAGUGAAAUACGGCUUUUCUGUCACUUAUAGAUGCAUCCCCGCCGCAUUAGCUAGUUGGUACGGUAACGGCUUACCAAGGCUACGAUGCGUAGCCGACGUGAGAGGGUGAUCGGCCGCACGGGAACGGAGACACGGUCCAGGGGCCUACGGGAGGCAGCAGUCGGGAAUCUGCGGCAAUGGGCGAAAACAUGACGGAGCAACGGCGCGUGAGUGAUGAAGGUCUUCGGAUCGGAAAACUCUGUUAUUAGGGAAGAACAAAUGUGUAAGUAGCUAUGCACGGCUUGACGGUACCGAAUCAGAAAGCAACGGCUAACUACGUG